CAAAUAGAGGAAAAGAAAUACAUUCUUUAUCAUAACUUUGAUACGCAUGCCAUUAUUGUUCGUAAAUAGAAAAAAAAGUAAUAACAUCCACAGCCACUGCUAUGCCAUAGCCUAUUCUUAUCAGCAAAGCUUAUAAGAAAUACUAGAACGAAUUAAUCAUAUUCAUCAUAAUUUAUCGAUAUUCAUAAUAAUAUAUAAAAGAAACGUAUCUUAAUUUCUAAACCCACAAAAAAAAAAACAGUGAUCGAAAAAUUAAGACAUUUAUGAAUGCUCAGUUUGACCUAACACGCACUGUCACACUGAGUCUCACACGCACCGAUGGUGAAUAGAAACGGGUAGGCUUGGUGUGUGCACUUUAUCAUCAAUCAUCGGCCUCAAGAAGCCUCUCACGGGACCUUUAGUACAAUGAACAUCACCGUGAAUAUUAGUGACAGUAAAGCUGAAAAUACCUUGUACUAUCUUUUAUGAUGGAAAAAGUAUUAAAGAUUGUGAGUAAACAUGAUGAAAAACGAAGGUGUGAUGCAGUGAUAGUGGAUAUAUUGAAGGUGAGUGAAAAUAUAGUGAACGAAGGUGAUGAAAAAUAGUGAUAUGGAAAAGAAAAUAUAGUGAAAAAAGAAAAUGUGAAAAUUGUACAGCGUGAAUGGGAAAAGAGAAUAGUGAAAAAAUAAAUGUAGAAGAUCGUUGUGAAAGAAAAAUAAUGAAGAUGAAAGAUAAAGAAAAGUCAAAUAGAAAGAAAUGAAAUGGAGAUGAUGCAAAUGGAAAAAGGGAGUACUGACUCAGAGGAUGUGACGGAAGAAGAAGAAGAAAGAGAAGGAGGAGGAGGAGGAGGAGGAGAAGGAGGGGAAAGAAGAGGAAGCUAUUGUUUACCUUCUUCUCACCUGCCUUACCUCAUUUACUGUUUACCUGUCAAAUUCUCCCUUUCCUCACCUGCCCCGUCUCACUGUUUGUUCCCGUCACACCAGCACCGGAAGGACCUAACUAGUGACACCUGGCGGACAAGAUAGCACUAAUGACAGGACCGUGAGAGUGAAAGGGUUAAGCUCACCUAUGAAAACACCCACACAGGUAACAGGUUUAUAAUUGGGCCGAACUGAGGCACUUGGAGCAAUUUGAAUAGUAAUGAUAUAAAAGGCCACGGUCUUAUCCCCAGGCCGCGCCACAAAGGAGAGCGCAACACCCGGACCGGCUGGGUUUAAGAAGCUCACCUUGCUGAUAAUAAUAGAUGCAAAUGGAAACGUAAUAAAUUGUAAUGCCGGGGCGUGAGAAAAUGAUUGGGGGAAAAUGGAAGAUGGCUCAGGAAAUUAGAGUAGAGGUUGUGGUGAUGGAAAUAAUGAAAGAGAAAAUAUUAGGGAAAGUAGAAAAAUGUUAAUGUUGAAUUGAAAUUGAUUGUAAAAAAUGCAAGAAAUUAGACCAGAAAUUGUGGUGAUGGAAAUAUGAAAGAAAUGUGAGAAAAGAUAAAAUGAAAAGGAUUAGAAUGAGAGAGAAAUUGUGGUGAUGGAGACAUGAUAGAAAAAAGAAAUUAAGAAAGGUAGAAAAAUAAUAGAAAAUGAUUGGGAGAAAAAUGCAAGACGGUUCAGGAAAUUAGAGUAGAAAUUGUGACGAUGGAAAUAUGAAAGAAAAAAAAAUUAGGAAAAAUAGAAAAAUGUGAAGGUUGAAUUGAAAUUGAUUAGGGAAAAAUGUAAGAGGGUUCAGGAAAUUAAAGUAGAAAUUGUAGUGAUGGAAAUAUGAGAAAAAAAAAUGUGAGAAAAGAUAAAAUAAAAAAAGACGAGAAUUAGAGGGAAAAUAUAGUGAUGGAAACAUGAAAAAAAUGAUGAAUGGAAGAACACAGUAGAAAAUGAUCAGGGAAAAUAUAAGAUGUCCAGGAAAUUAGAGUAAAAACCGUAGUGAUAGAAAUAGGAGAGAAAAAAUAUUAAGAAAAGUAGAAAAAUGUUAAGCUUGAAUUGGAAAUGAUUAGGAAAAAUGUAAGAGGUUAAAAAAAUAAAGAAAAAAUUGUAGUGAUGGAGAUAUGAAAGAAAAAAUGAGGAUUAAAACACGAGGAUUAAGAUUUAGAAUGAGGAUUAUAUGACAUGAAAGGAAAACGAAAUGAGGAAAGGCAGAAAGUUGAAUUGAGAUCACAGGAGAAAUUUGUAGUGAAAGAGAUAUGGAGGAAGAGAAAAGAAAGUAAAGAUAGGAAAGGAAUAAAUUUGAAUUGAAGAGAUAUGAAAGAUGGGAAAAGUAAGGAAAGAUAGAAAAGUAAGUUUGAAUUGAACAGAUAUGAAAGAUCGAAAAUGUAAGGAAUAAAAAAUAAGUUUGAAUUGGACUGAUAUGAAAGAUGGAAAAAGUAAGGAAAAAAAAAGUAAUAAGUUUGAAUUGAACAGAUAUGAAAGAUCGAAGAGUAAGAAAAGAUAGGAAAGUAACAAGUUUAAAUUGAAGAGAUAUGUAUGAAAGAUGGAAAAAAUAAAGAAUGAAAAGUAAUAAGGUUAAAUUGAAGUUAGUGGAAGGAAUU